rnacentral:misc_RNA from 1 species
UUUCCGUAGGUGAACCUGCGGAAGGAUCAUUAACGUGUUCGUUCGGCCGUUCGGGUCGGCCCUGCACCGACGGAGACGUCGUGCUGCGGGCUCCCGGACGCGCCUUCCAAACCAAACCCCUGUGAACCUUUGGGAGGGUCGAGCCUUCGCCGGCGACGCCGUCCCCUUUACAAACUCUUGUAUCUCAUAGAAUGACCGCGGACAUUGUCUGCCUAAACACAUAACAACUUUCAACAACGGAUCUCUUGGCUCUC